GACGAACGCUGGCGGCGUGCUUAGCACAUGCAAGUUGAACGGUCCGGCAUGGAAGCUUGCUGAAGUGUCGGGUAGUAGCGGACGGGUGAGUAAUGCAUGAGAAGCUGCCAUUGGGAGGGGGACAUCAGUUGGAAACGGCUGCUAAUACCCCAUAUGCCGGAAGGUGAAACGGAGUGAUCCGCCCGAUGAGGUGCUCAUGUCCUAUCAGCUAGUUGGUGAGGUAACGGCUCACCAAGGCGACGACGGGUAGCCGGCCUGAGAGGGUGACCGGCCACACUGGAACUGAGAUACGGUCCAGACUCCUACGGGAGGCAGCAGUGGGGAAUAUUGGGCAAUGGGGGCAACCCUGACCCAGCGACGCCGCGUGAGGGAAGACGGCCUUCGGGUUGUAAACCUCUUUUGUACGGGAAGAAGGAUGUGACGGUACCGUGCGAAUAAGUCCCGGCUAACUACGUGCCAGCCGCCGCGGUAA
rnacentral:rRNA from 1 species